rnacentral:rRNA from 1 species
UACGUAGGGCGCAAGCGUUGUCCGGAAUUAUUGGGCGUAAAGAGCUCGUAGGCGGCCAGUUGCGUCCGCUGUGAAAUCCCGGGGCUUAACCCCGGGCGUGCAGUGGAUACGGGCUGGCUAGAGGCAGGCAGGGGAGAACGGAAUUCCCGGUGUAGCGGUGAAAUGCGCAGAUAUCGGGAGGAACACCGGUGGCGAAGGCGGUUCUCUGGGCCUGUACUGACGCUGAGGAGCCGAAAGCGUGGGGAGCAAACAGG